UAGAAAUAGGCUAUAUGUGCAUCCUAGCAUACAUUACGUAAGUAAACAUCUUUUACUCAUCUUUAUGUCCAAUACUAUAGCUAUAGUUAUUUUGUUCCUUUUUAACUAAGGUUGCUUUUACUUAGAUAUCUUUGGGAUGAAUGUGAUUGUGGAAGCAAGUUUUUUUGUUAUGACCAAGCAAAAAUAACAUCACAUAUCAAGGAUCGUGAUCUCCGAUCCAGAAAUUUUGCCAACCAGUUAGAAGCGGCUACCUUGGAACAAAUAGUUCUAAUUCCGUAUAAUACUGGUUUUCAUUGGAUGUUGCAUGUCAUCGAUCUUCGAGAGAACUGUGUUUAUGUUUUGGACUCUCUUCAAAGUAAAGUUAACGAAGACAUCCAUGGAGUCAUAAAUGUGACUUAUGAUUUACUUCUUAUUUGACUUCAUUGUCUUCUAAUUCUAAUGUUUCCAAAUGUAUAGAGGAUUAAAAACAUGGCAAGCUAAGCAUGAUUUACAACAUUAUCGGUCAAAUCCGAAAUGGAAACCUAUAAAGUGUCCUCGUCAAUUGGAUUCGGUUGGGUGUGGGUAUUAUGUCCAAAAGUAUAUACAUGAAAUCGUGCAUAAUUCUAGUACUCCCAUCACUAGCCUUGUAAGUUUCUACUUUCACUUUUUAUAUGUUACAAAUUACAUAAAUUAUCUAAACUUAUUCUUUCCAUACCUUU